GAAUUCACUAGUGAUUUGGCGGCGUGGAUAAGACAUGCAAGUCGAACGAGAGAAUUGCUAGCUUGCUAAUAAUUCUCUAGUGGCGCACGGGUGAGUAACACGUGAGUAACCUGCCCCCGAGAGCGGGAUAGCCCUGGGAAACUGGGAUUAAUACCGCAUAGUAUCGAAAGAUUAAAGCAGCAAUGCGCUUGGGGAUGGGCUCGCGGCCUAUUAGUUAGUUGGUGAGGUAACGGCUCACCAAGGCGAUGACGGGUAGCCGGUCUGAGAGGAUGUCCGGCCACACUGGAACUGAGACACGGUCCAGACACCUACGGGUGGCAGCAGUCGAGGAUCAUUCACAAUGGGGGAAACCCUGAUGGUGCGACGCCGCGUGGGGGAAUGAAGGUCUUCGGAUUGUAAACCCCUGUCAUGUGGGAGCAAAUUAAAAAGAUAGUACCACAAGAGGAAGAGACGGCUAACUCUGUGCCAGCAGCCGCGGUAAUACAGAGGUCUCAAGCGUUGUUCGGAAUCACUGGGCGUAAAGCGUGCGUAGGCUGUUUCGUAAGUCGUGUGUGAAAGGCGCGGGCUCAACCCGCGGACGGCACAUGAUACUGCGAGACUAGAGUAAUGGAGGGGGAACCGGAAUUCACGGUGUAGCAA
rnacentral:rRNA from 1 species